rnacentral:rRNA from 1 species
ACGACGAGGUUGAUAGGUUCGGGGUGGAAGCGCAGCAAUGCGUGCAGCUGACGAAUACUAAUCGGUCGAGGGCUUAUCCUA